rnacentral:Y_RNA from 1 species
GGCUGGUCUGAUGAUAGUAGAUUAUCAGAACAUAUUAACACUAGUGUCACUGAAGUCAGUAUAUAACCCCAUCACUGAUAAAUUUGAUUGGCUUAAA